AUACGUAGGGGGCGAGCGUUGUCCGGAAUGAUUGGGCGUAAAGGGCGCGUAGGCGGCCCGGUAAGUCUGGAGUGAAAGUCCUGUUUUUAAGAUGGGAAUUGCUUUGGAUACUGUCGGGCUUGAGUGCAGGAGAGGGAAGUGGAAUUCCCAGUGUAGCGGGGAACUGCGUAGAGAUUGGGAGGAACACCAGUGGCGAAGGCGACUUACUGGACUGUAACUGACGCUGAGGCGCGAAAGCGUGGGGAGCGAACAGGAUUAGAUACCCUGGUAGUCCACGCGGUAAACGAUGAAUGCUAGGUGUUGCGGGUAUCGACCCCUGCAGUGCCGGAGUAAACACAAUAAGCAUUCCGCCUGGGGAGUACGGCCGCAAGGUUGAAACUCAAAGGAAUUGGCGGGG
rnacentral:rRNA from 1 species